GUUAGCACAGGUUUGUCAUUUUCCAAAAUCCUGCUUGCUUUAAAUCCUGAUUCCAAUAAUAUCAAUCAUUAAGCUAUAGGUGACACACUCAAGUGAUUUAGUCUAUGCUGAUAUGGUAGUGUCAAUAGUAGUAGUUUAUGGUUUUAUUUCCCUCUGUUAAUUUGGCAGUACGGCUCUGCACUGUCACAGUCAAUAUGUGUGCGUGUGAACCAGAAACCUGCACACCACUAAGGUAUGGGCUCUGGCUAUCAACAGCCGACAAGCCCCAGAUAGCCUUCUCUAUCCCUCUACUUGAGCUUUUUGUUUGUCUGUCACUGGAGUAUCGGGUUUCUGUUGAGGGUUUUUGCAACACCCUGCGCUGGAAAAAUAACCUCACACUUGCAGAGGUAAGUCAGUUUACAGAGGUCAGUUUGAAGUCUUGUCUGUGAAGUGAACAUUUCCGUUACUUUCAUGGAAGACUAAGGAGUCCAUAUUGUAGGGCUGUGCAAUUAAUUGUUUUUGAUUUUCAAUUUAAAUUUUGAUUCAAACAAUUACAAAAACAAGAUAAUUGAGGUAAAACAAUAUUGUGCAACAAUUUUUGUGCAAUUAUAAAUUGCGCACUGCUGGACCGAUGUGUUUGUAAGGCACUUUGAAGGCACUACUGUUUUGACAUGUGUAGCCUAUUUUAACACUUACAUGAUAAAAAGGUUAAAUAAAUGCAUGUUUUCAAAGUCACACACAAAUUGGGAAGCAUACAGUAAGCAGAUUAAACUGUCUUUUCAGAGGUGCAGCUCCUGCAAAGACUAGACAAAGCAGAGAAAUUAUCGAUUCUCGCUCAAGAAGAUAUCUCAUCUUUCAUCAGAGAGGCACCAGUGUUGGUUUCUGAAGGAGACAUGGAGAGAUGGAAAAAAGGGAGAUGUAGCUAGCCCAACAGAAACCAAUAAACACUGUCUGUAGAUGAAAAAGGGACUACAUCAUCAGACUGAUUCAGUUCUACAAGUUCAAAUUGAAGAAGAUGAUGUUUCGAGGAGUCUAAAAAGGCGAGGGAUUGAAGCCGUACAUAUGAAGACUCGGGCAGCUGAGGAAAAGCACAUGCUUUACCAGGAAAUGAGAAGUGUAACUGAACACCUCCAUCAGCAGCAUGCCUUUCUGUGCUCUGCCAUCAAAGACACUGAGCAGCCUGGUGCAAAAGCUGCUCUCAUUCAACGUCUCCAUCAGCUGGAAAGAAAACGACAUCAAGCCAUUGUGAUGUUUCACCCACAUGUACCAGACAUUGUUCCUGCAGACAACCCCCACUUGUGUCAGGCCCUCCCCAUGCCAAGCAUACAGACACUGGUAUACAAUGAUGAUAGUGAUAAUGAUGACAAUGAGGAUGAAUAUGAUAACUAGCACUGCAGAUUUUUUUUUUUUAAUUUCCAGUUGAAUCCUUUGAAACAAAUACUAUAUAGGUUUGUAAAAAAUACAAUUAUUUCCAGAAUGAGUUAUUGUCAUGUUUUCAGCCAUUGUCACAGCACACUUGAGAGGUCAAUGACUCGUACAAUGAUUUUACAGUCAUAAUCCACAAGACAGUGUGUCACAUACAGUAGGUUCUUACAUAAUGAUUAUUGGCUUGAAAUGCUCCUGAAUUAAGUUUGUGGAUUAAUACUUUUUUAUCUUCCCAUUGGCUGCUUUUAUUUUAUUUUUACGUUCUUUGUUCAGUGAAUUUGUAUUACAUUUAGUUUUAUAUAGUUCAUUGCUAUGGUGGUUGCUAUUGACCCUGCUAUCACUGAAACCAUCUAGCCAGAACCGCUGUUUCCAUCCAAAUUCUACCCCAAACCUAACCGUAAAUCACGUAGCUGUAUCCCAUCUAGCCAAAAACACUGUUUUGGCUAAAAUAUCUUAAAAACAGCUUAUUUACAUUUGCUUAAUGUAGAUCAUCUAGAUGUACUAUAAUUAAUAGUUUGGCUGAACUAGAUGUUGAUAUAUUCAGUAGAUAAAUGUUUUUACAGCCCUACUUUGCACACCAGAAAAACUACAAUUUUAGUGCUGAUUAGUGUCAAGCUGCAUUGCGCACCUGUAGGGAAUUGUAGUUUUUAAAACAUUUGUUUUUCUUAUAAUUGGAGGUUGUAAAUAGUGAAUUGAGAGCACAGUGAGGAGUUUAGGGGAUUGUAAACACAUUUAUGCAAUAAAAUGUUAAAUAUUUAAUUGUUUAAUAGGUUUAAAUUCAUUUUAACCAUAUUUGACAGUGUCCCAAGUUGUUGACUAUAUUGACAUGAUAACUGAGGUCAAGAGCUCUCAUUAACAGUUGGUCCCAUGUCUGUAGCCCCUUUUGUUGCCUACUUAUAAGCCUUGAAAAAUGCACCAAGGUGAUAAGCCUUGAAAAAGGUCAGUAUUUCAAAGCAGGCGCCAUGUAGAUUCUUCAUACUGACAUGUUAUUCUCCAGGUCAAGACCUUUCUAACGAUGUAUUUGGCUUAGCUCUACAACAAACUUUUCAUGUUCUCAUUUCAAUGUACUCAAGCCAUCUCAGGUGUAGUUUCAGAGAGCACUUUGAAGGUUCAAUAGGGUUAGAUAAAAUAAAGCUUUUUGUUUGUUUGUUUGUUUGUUUUUGUCUGUUUAUUUCUGGCUGUGUAAACAGACCCCACACCUUGAGGAAUACCUGGUCAGUGGUCCACACACACAAACUGUGCUUUUCUGUUUGGGCUUAUAUGCAUAAUCUAUCUAUUUAUGUUAAUGCUGCUAUGAUAAUUAAAAACAUACCAUUAAUAAAUAAGACCAUAGUCUAAUGGGUAGUUGUCUCUGAUUGUAGGCUACUUGUAGUAGAUGACUAUUAGGCC